CUUCAGAGACUGGGUGGUCGCAAAUCCCAGACAAGCCCCUAAGAUGAAAGACCCCUGAAGAGGGGAGACCCUCACUCAAGCCUUGGGAUGAUGUGAUCCCCCCCCCCCAAGAACUC
rnacentral:pre_miRNA from 7 species